GUUAAGUGGGAAACGAUGUGGGAAGGCCCAGACAGCCAGGAUGUUGGCUUAGAAGCAGCCAUCAUUUAAAGAAAGCGUAAUAGCUCACUGGUCGAGUCGGCCUGCGCGGAAGAUGUAACGGGGCUAAACUAUGCACCGAAGCUGCGGCAGCGACACUAUGUGUUGUUGGGUAGGGGAGCGUUCUGUAAGCCUGUGAAGGUGUGUCGUGAGGCAUGCUGGAGGUAUCAGAAGUGCGAAUGCUGACAUAAGUAACGAUAAAGCGGGUGAAAAGCCCGCUCGCCGGAAGACCAAGGGUUCCUGUCCAACGUUAAUCGGGGCAGGGUGAGUCGACCCCUAAGGCGAGGCCGAAAGGCGUAGUCGAUGGGAAACGGGUUAAUAUUCCCGUACUUGGUGUUACUGCGAAGGGGGGACGGAGAAGGCUAUGUUGGCCGGGCGACGGUUGUCCCGGUUUAAGCGUGUAGGUGUGUGUUCCAGGUAAAUCCGGUUCACUUUAACACUGAGGCGUGAUGACGAGGCACUACGGUGCUGAAGCAACAAAUGCCCUGCUUCCAGGAAAAGCCUCUAAGCAUCAGGUAACAUCAAAUCGUACCCCAAACCGACACAGGUGGUCAGGUAGAGAAUACCAAGGCGCUUGAGAGAACUCGGGUGAAGGAACUAGGCAAAAUGGUGCCGUAACUUCGGGAGAAGGCACGCUGACACGUAGGUGAAGUGAUUUACUCAUGGAGCUGAAGUCAGUCGAAGAUACCAGCUGGCUGCAACUGUUUAUUAAAAACACAGCACUGUGCAAACACGAAAGUGGACGUAUACGGUGUGACGCCUGCCCGGUGCCGGAAGGUUAAUUGAUGGGGUCAGCGCAAGCGAAGCUCCUGAUCGAAGCCCCGGUAAACGGCGGCCGUAACUAUAACGGUCCUAAGGUAGCGAAAUUCCUUGUCGGGUAAGUUCCGACCUGCACGAAUGGCGUAAUGAUGGCCAGGCUGUCUCCACCCGAGACUCAGUGAAAUUGAACUCGCUGUGAAGAUGCAGUGUACCCGCGGCAAGACGGAAAGACCCCGUGAACCUUUACUAUAGCUUGACACUGAACAUUGAGCCUUGAUGUGUAGGAUAGGUGGGAGGCUUUGAAGUGUGGACGCCAGUCUGC
rnacentral:rRNA from 1 species